CACGCCGUAAACGGUGGGUACUAGGUGUGGGGGACAUUCCACGUUCUCCGUGCCGCAGCUAACGCAUUAAGUACCCCGCCUGGGGAGUACGGCCGCAAGGCUAAAACUCAAAGGAAUUGA
rnacentral:rRNA from 1 species